UGCUAGCUCAUCUGCAGAAGUAUA
rnacentral:ncRNA from 3 species